CCUACGGGGGGCUGCAGUGGGGAAUAUUGCGCAAUGGGCGAAAGCCUGACGCAGCGACGCCGCGUGAGGGAUGAAGGUCUUCGGAUCGUAAACCUCUGUCAGCAGGGAAGAACGGUCACUGUGCUAAUCAGCAGUGAAUUGACGGUACCUGCAAAGGAAGCACCGGCUAACUCCGUGCCAGCAGCCGCGGCAAGACGGAGGGGGCGAGCGUUAAUAGGAAUUACUGGGCGUAAAUGGCUCGUAGGCGGUAUGUCAAGUCAAGGGUGAAAUCCCGGCGCUCAACGUGGGAAGUGCCUUUGAAACUGGCAGACUGGAGUGUGUGAGGGGAAAGUGGAAUUCCAGGUGUAGGAGUGAAAUGCGUAGAUAUCAGGAGGAACAUCAGUGGCGAAGGCG
rnacentral:rRNA from 1 species